CCUUGCUCGGCUGCCGCUGAGCGGAGGAGCAGAGUGAGGGAGGGCCCAGGACCACGCUUAAGGCCUUGUAGGGGCCUCGCCAGGUCCCAGGAACGGAAUAUCUACUUUGCCUCUUCUCCAUCUCCCCUCGGGGCUAUCAGCACCACCCCCUUGCUGGAGAGGGCGCAGAUAGAAGGGUAAUCAGUAAAAGGUACAUCUCCGGCCUUGAUUCUCUCUUUUUUCACUCUAAUCC